CUGUUUUCUGAAUCAUUAACAGAUGKGAGACUUUGCCARAAACCUGAAAUUACAAAUGGAUUUGCAGUUGAACCCAGUAAAGGCACAAUUUACUACGCAUGUAAUGAAAAUUUCAAACUUCCUACCAAAAGCUGGUGGGGUCAUGCCAAAUGUGAAGACGGUGCGUUUGGCCAACUUCAUUCAUGUAUAGCAAAGACAUYGUGUGGAGAGGUUUCUGCAAUUUCCAAUGGAAAAGURACCAUUUCAAGGUCACGUGCUACGAUUGAAUGCAAUGAAGGAUACGUUGCAGAGAUUGCUGAACUAACUUGUGACAAUGGAAGAUGGAAUUAUCAUGACUUUACACCAAAAACAAUCUGCCGUGCAACUGYUGAACACUGUGGCCCACCACCCAAAGUUGAGAAUGCAGUUGUCACCAUUUCAUACCAGAAGGAAUACUUGCAUGGCUCCUCUGUGACUUAUCAGUGCCGUGACAAAUAUAGGAUGGAGGAAGAAGGCUCCAUUACAUGCAACGCUGGGAAAUGGGAAACGAGAAACAUCACAUGUGUCCGUAUGUGCAUAUUUYAUUCAAAAUGUUCUYAAAACAUUAUUAAUGGCAUUGUUUUAGGCCUGUGAGUAACACACCGUUUAGCCAACUGAUUUCCCAUUUCUUCCUCAUGUGUUAAGAUUUCCUCCCUUUCUACGUCUGUUUAAUACUUGUAAUCAAACCAUUUCAUUCCAUUUCGUGUCUGCAUUAUUUCUGCAGAUAAAAUCUGAGAAACAUGAAACUUGCAGAAAAUUUCACUAAGCCGUAGUUUAUUAAAAUUACACCAAAAUAUAUGACAGAUUAUGAUCUAAUUGGACCAAAUGAAGUCUGACUGGAUUCCUGCCAGUAGAUAUUAUUAAUCAUUAAACUUCUAUUUUCAUUAAACCAAUUGUAAAAUAUACAAAUUACUUUAAUUUUGUGGUUUACCAAUCAUAU